rnacentral:rRNA from 1 species
AUGUCGUCGUGGUUUCCGUCCUCCUACUACGACGAGGAUGACGUCAAGCCGGCGGUGACGACGCAUUGGCGCCGUGACUAUGGCUACGGCUACGGCUACGGCGGGGGAGUCGCCGGGGAGGACGUCAAGCCGCGUCCGGGUCCUCCGAGAGCAGGAGCAGGAGCAGGCCGAGGUGUACAUGGACAGGACGAUCGGGCGGCGCUCUCUUGGCCGGCGGCUGAGGAGUUCAAGUCGACGCUGCGCACGCAGUAG